rnacentral:rRNA from 1 species
ACGCUGGCGGCAGGCCUAACACAUGCAAGUCGAGCGGUAGAGAGAAGCUUGCUUCUCUUGAGAGCGGCGGACGGGUGAGUAAUGCCUAGGAAUCUGCCUGGUAGUGGGGGAUAACGUUCGGAAACGGACGCUAAUACCGCAUACGUCCUACGGGAGAAAGCAGGGGACCUUCGGGCCUUGCGCUAUCAGAUGAGCCUAGGUCGGAUUAGCUAGUUGGUGGGGUAAUGGCUCACCAAGGCGACGAUCCGUAACUGGUCUGAGAGGAUGAUCAGUCACACUGGAACUGAGACACGGUCCAGACUCCUACGGGAGGCAGCAGUGGGGAAUAUUGGACAAUGGGCGAAAGCCUGAUCCAGCCAUGCCGCGUGUGUGAAGAAGGUCUUCGGAUUGUAAAGCACUUUAAGUUGGGAGGAAGGGUUGUAGAUUAAUACUCUGCAAUUUUGACGUUACCGACAGAAUAAGCACCGGCUAACUCUGUGCCAGCAGCCGCGGUAAUACAGAGGGUGCAAGCGUUAAUCGGAAUUACUGGGCGUAAAGCGCGCGUAGGUGGUUAGUUAAGUUGGAUGUGAAAUCCCCGGGCUCAACCUGGGAACUGCAUUCAAAACUGACUGACUAGAGUAUGGUAGAGGGUGGUGGAAUUUCCUGUGUAGCGGUGAAAUGCGUAGAUAUAGGAAGGAACACCAGUGGCGAAGGCAACCACCUGGACUGAUACUGACACUGAGGUGCGAAAGCGUGGGGAGCAAAC